rnacentral:rRNA from 1 species
CCGCUCGGGGGUAAACGGAAAAGACCCAAAAUUUCGAAAGGGGAGAUUCAAGCCUUCUCGCGCGUUUCCCCGCCCGCCUCAAAGCCAGGCCCUUCGCCCCGUCCGGUUCUUCCGAGACGGCGGGUCGGGCCGCUGUUGAGCGGGCCACGGGAACGGCGGCGGACCGCACUUCUCCCUCAGUAGGACGUCGCGACCCGCUCGGCGGCGGUCUACGGGCCCCGGCGCGCGUCUGGCGAGGCCCCGUUCACGCGGGGCCUUCGACUGCACGCCGAACAGCCCCGUCUGCCAGCCGUGCGGUAUCGAAUGACGGUGAAGGACCACUCACGCUCAGCGCGAGCGCCAGAACGGCCCGCAAGUCUCCUGCGUGCGUGUCGAGUCGGACUCAGGUCCGGCCGGCCGCCGUCGGGGCUGCUGGCGGGCCGUCUCUCUGGCGGGUUCACUGCACCAGUCGGCGGCGAUACAGAUUUGGGCUCUUGUCCGACCCGUCUUGAAACACGGACCAAGGAGUUUAGCGUGUGCGCGAGUCACUGGGUGGAAAACCUAAAGGCGAAAUGAAAGUGAAGGGGGCCUCUGGCCCCCGAGGGAAGAUGGGCGUCCGUCCUUCGCAGGCGGCGCCCCGCACUCCCGGGGCGUCUCUUUCUCGUUACGAGUGGAGGCGCACCUGUAGCGCACACGCUGAUACCCGAAAGAUGGUGAACUAUGCCUGGCCAGGACGAAGCCAGGGGAAACCCUGGUGGAGGUCCGCAGCGAUUCUGACGUGCAAAUCGAUCGUCGGAGCUGGGUAUAGGGGCGAAAGACCAAUCGAACCAUCUAGUAGCUGGUUCCCUCUGAAGUUUCCCUCAGGAUAGCUUGCGCUCGGUUGAGACGAGUCUCAUCCGGUAGAGCGAAUGAUUAGAGGCCUUGGGGUCGAAACGACCUCAACCUAUUCUCAAACUCCAAAUAGAUGAGAUCCCCGGCUUGCUUGAAAGUGAAGCCGCGGGAAUCGGAUCAGAGUGCAAAGUGGGCCAAUUUUGGUAAGCAGAACUGGCGCUGUGGGAUGAACCAAACGCAGAGUUAAGGCGCCUGAAUCGACGCUCAUGUGAAACCAUGAAAGGCGUUGGUUGCUUAAGACAGCAGGACGGUGGCCAUGGAAGUCGGAAUCCGCUAAGGAGUGUGUAACAACUCACCUGCCGAAGCAACUAGCCCUGAAAAUGGAUGGCGCUGUAGCGUCGUGCCUAUACUCUGCCGUCAGAGGCAAAGCGGGCGGCUCUCGCGAGCGGCGCCGUUAUGCCCUGAUGAGUAAGAGGGUCGCGGCGAUGUGCGCAGAAGGGUCGGGGCGUGAGCCCGCCUGGAGCCGUCGCCGGUGCAGAUCUUGGUGGUAGUAGCAAAUACUCCAGCGAGGCCCUGGAGGACUGAUGUGGAGAAGGGUUUCUUGUGAACAGCUGUUGCACAAGAGUCAGUCGAUCCUAAGCCCUAGGAGAAAUCCGAAGCGAUGGGUUGCCGUUAAGCCUACAUUAAAGGGUAGUGAGAACCUCCCCUCGCCGUCGAUCCCGACACGGCUUCAGGGAAGGACUGGAGCAAACGAGGAGCAUCCGGUCAGGGGCGAGAGCCCGCAGCAGACGUCAGCGACCAGGUGGAGACGCACACACGCCGUUACACUGAGAAGUGCGAGCGAGUAUGCCCUUCCCGUUUCUGAAACGAAGCUGCGUGCCUCGCUCUCUCGACCGGACCAACUCCUCGUCCUCCUUCUUUCCGCCGUUGUCCGCGGACUCGCGCGGCCGAGGGGAAUAAAGGGUCUCUCUCUCUGUUUAGGGGAUGGCAACCGUCUGGGCGAAAGGGAAUCCGGUUCCUAUUCCGGAACCUGGCAGCGGAACCGAUCCAAUUCGGGCCCUCAUUGAGGACUCGUCGGGGCAACCCAAAAAGACCCGGAGACGCCGCCGGGAGAUUCGGGGAGAGUUGUCUCUUCUCUAUAAGCGUUCGAGUUCCCUGGAAACCUCUAGCAGUGAGAUAGGGUUUGGAACGCGAAGAGCACCGCAGUUACAGCGGUGUCCGGAUCUUCCCCGCGGACCUUGAAAAUCCGGGAGAGGGCCACGACGAUCACCGCGCCGGCUCGUACCCAUAUCCGCAGCAGGUCUCCAAGGUGAAUAGCCUCUAGUCGAUAGAAUAAUGUAGGUAAGGGAAGUCGGCAAAUUCGAUCCGUAACUUCGGGAUAAGGAUUGGCUCUGGGGAUCGUGGCGAGCCGGGCUUGGUCGGGAAGUGGAGCGUUGUCAACGUGCCGGGCCUGGGCGAGGAGACUGGUGGUGACACCAGGAUGCGAGCUCGGUCCCGUGCCUUGGCCACCCACGGACCUUCCUUGCUGCGAGUCAUCGGCUGUCCAGUUGCCGUCUCUUUUAGGGGCGGAAAACGGGCCGAUCGUCUCUUCGGCCGCCAUUCAACGAUCAACUCAGAACUGGCACGGACCAGGGGAAUCCGACUGUCUAAUUAAAACAAAGCAUUGUGAUGGCCCUAACGGGUGUUGACG